GGCCUGGUGGUGUAGUGGUAACAUGUCCUAUGUUCAUUAAUGUAAGUUAAAGUGCGUAGAAGGAAGAGUCCUGUUCAAUUCGGGGCCGGGCCA